GUGGAAAACUAGUGCCUUGAAUAUAUAAGAUUGUACACAUGUUAUGAACACAAUGGGGAGCAUAUGGCCCGAUUCCAUUGUGAUUCCUUCGGUGUAUCGGACACGAAUGACGAGAACGUUAGUGAAGGGUUGGUUGACGAUGCGAAUGACCUACAUGAGCCGACAACGCUGUCUUUAUAUUGACAUCGGAUGGACGUGUGAUGAUGCCUAUACUAUUACAUUGAAAAAUGUAAUCUGUAUAUGCCGCAAACGAAUAAGUAAAAUAUAUUUGGAACUCCCA